rnacentral:tRNA from 1 species
GUGGCUCAGUGGUAGAGCACAUGUCUUACAUGCAUGAGGACCUGAAUUCAAUCCCAGC